UUCCGUAGGGGUGACCUGCGGAGGGAUCAUUACCGAGUUUACAACUCCCAAACCCCUGUGAACAUACCUAUACGUUGCCUCGGCGGAUCAGCCCGCGCCCCGUAACAAGGGACGGCCCGCCCGAGGACCCCUAAACUCUGUUUUUAGUGGAACUUCUGAGUAAAACAAACAAAUAAAUCAAAACUUUCAACAACGGAUCUCUUGGUUCUGGCAUCGAUGAAGAACGCAGCAAAAUGCGAUAAGUAAUGUGAAUUGCAGAAUUCAGUGAAUCAUCGAAUCUUUGAACGCACAUUGCGCCCGCCAGUAUUCUGGCGGGCAUGCCUGUUCGAGCGUCAUUUCAACCCUCAAGCUCAGCUUGGUGUUGGGACUCGCGGUAACCCGCGUUCCCCAAAUCGAUUGGCGGUCACGUCGAGCUUCCAUAGCGUAGUAAUCAUACACCUCGUUACUGGUAAUCGUCGCGGCCACGCCGUAAAACCCCAACUUCUGAAUGUUGACCUCGGAUCAGGUAGGAAUACCCGCUGAACUUAAGCAUAUCAAAAGCCCGGAGGAA
rnacentral:rRNA from 1 species